rnacentral:lncRNA from 1 species
CUGGUGACAGAAGGUGUGCAAGCUGACACAGGCUUGUAAUUAUUGCACCUGGCCAGGGUCAUCCUGAACACAGUCGUCACGCCUAACCAUCUCUAGGCAAGGAGAUGGGAAGGGCUUCGGUGGGCAAAGCUAAGGAGAAGGAAAGGGCUCGGUUGGAGGGAAGACUGGGCUCCGCUCCUGCCACUAGCUGCUGUGUGCUCUCUUGCCAGCUGCUCACCCUCUCUGAACCUUGUUCUUUGGCCUGCAGAACUGGCAUGGGGCUGCCACAAGGACGAUGAGCUACAAGCGACAGCAAUGGGCUUCUGCACAGACGGCCCUGCAGAAACCUCUGAGAUAGCACCCCCUGCGGUCCCCUGCCCACCACCACCCCACUUUGCUUUUCUUCCAAUUGAUCUCCACCUGACACAGUGCACGCCAAUGCUGGUCUCCCUCUCCUUGACCCAGGGGGAGGUGGGGAAGCUCCUGAGAGGGAACCCGCUGUUGUGUUCAAGGCUGUGUUUCUGGGGCACAUGAGGCCCGGGCUGGGUGAAGCUGUGAAGCUGUGCUGAAUGGAUGCAAGGCUUUCCAGGAAAGAUGGCAAGGGCACGAGGACGGCUCAGGAGGAGCAGGAGGGUGCCAGCAGAGGAGCCCAAGGACAGGAGAUCACAGAAGGCCCUGGCAGCCUGAGACGGGGGUGCUGUCCUCUUUGUAAGCUGCGCAGCUGCCUCGACCCCUGAGCAGGCACACAGCAGGUGCGGGUAGGGGUCCUUCCUCCUGGCACAGACAGCCCCACAGCCUAUGGGGCAGCAGAGCCUCCACCCCGGACACUCCUGCUCCUGGAUGCAGAGCGAGAGGUGGCUGCAGCCUUGCGGGAUGUCGCGCGGAGGCUGACGGGAGCACGGUUCACUGAGAGAGAGAAGCCAGCAGGCCUCAGCCAUGGAAGCCGGUGCCUGAUUGGUGCCCAGCUGUGAUUAGAGAGUCCUAUUUCAAUGUGGGCCCCUUAGGCUCAUGUCCAGAGGCCUCUGACUCAUGGAGAACUGUGCUCGGCACACCGUUUCUGGACCCUCUUGAAGGAUUAUCUGCUAGUCCUGGGGCCUGGGUACCAUGUUCUGCAUGGACAGCCAGGACUGGGAUGGAGCCUGGACCAGCCCCCGGAGCAGCUGAGCAUCUACCCAUCGGUUCAAAUAGAAGGACCCUGGAUGUCUGCCUUGGAUGGCCGGCCCAGCCCCCUGUGGGCUGAUGGGA